UUGUGCUAAGGUAGCAUAAUCAUUUGUCUUUUAAUUGAAGACUAGAACAAAAGAUUAAACAAUUUAACUAAUAUAUAAAAAUUAAAAAUUUUAAUUUUUUUUAAAAGUAAAAAAACUUUUAUAUUUAAGGAAGACGACAAGACCCUAUUAAACUUAACUUUAGUUAAACUGGGGCAGUUAAUCAAUUAUUAUUUUAAUUAAAAUAACAACACAAAUGAUCCAACAAAAUUGAUAAAAUGAUUUAGUUACUAUAGGGAUAACAGCGUAAUAUUAAUCUAAAGAUCUUAUUUAAAUAAAAGUUUGCGACCUCGAUGUUGAAUUAAUAACCUAAAUUGUUGUAACAAACAAAU
rnacentral:rRNA from 1 species